GCAACGAGAGUGAAACUCCAUCUCAAAAAAAGAAAAAAAGGCUGGACACAGUGGCUCACGCCUGUCAUCCCAGCACUUUGGGAGGCUGAGGCGGACAGAUUGCCUGAGCUCAGGAGUUCGAGACCAGCCUGGCCAACAUGUUGAAACCCCGUCUCUACUAAAAUACAAAAGAAAUUAGCUGGGAGUGGUGGCAGGUGCCUGUAAUCCCAGCUACUCAGGAGGCUGAGGCAGGAGAAUUGCUUGAACCUGGGACACGGAGGUUGCAGUGAGACGAGAUUGCCCCAUCGCACUCCAGCCUGCAACAGAGCGAGACUCCUUAACAAGGGAGGCUAUUCUGACACCUGCUACCAUGUGGAAGAAGCUUGACAAUAUUGACCAAUCAGCCAGACACAGAAAGACAAGUCCUGUGUGAUUCCACUUCGAGGAGGUCCCUCGAGUCACCAGAGUCACAGAGACAGAAAGUAUAACGCAGCAGCGUACACUGCCCAGCCCGGGCUUCGUUUCCACUUUCUGUGACCUGGUGUGGCGGUGAGUCUUACUCAGCGUGCUUGAGCCGAAAUGUCACCAGCUGCCCGCCGACCUGGGAUGACACCUUGGGCCGUUCUGUUUUCUCCCGUUCACCGGUCAAGACGCUGAAACUCGGGAGCUUUUGGCGGCCGAGCUGCGUGAAGGGACUUCAAGAGACGAGGAGACGGACCCCGUGGAAACCUCUCCCACCUGGCGAUUGUAGGGGAAGGAGCUUCUAUUCUUGACCCAGCCCACGACACGUGCCGGGGCUGUCAGCGCCGUGAGAGGCACCUGUGUCUCCCCGAGCUGAGGACGGAUGACAUUUGUACCUACAGGGGUAAAAAAAGAUAAAGCAAACACGGAACAGCACACUCCUCCCGGCCUUCCUUCUUCUGACACCGUUUUCCUUUAGAAGAUCUGAAACUACAAGUCAGGACAUGACACGUGGAGCGUCCCAGGCACGCGCAGCCUCUGCUGUUUGAUUUCCGACGUGAGUCUAUAGUCUUUGGAAAAAAUCUGUGGUUGGCCGGGCGCGGUGGCUCACGCCUGGCAUCCCAGCACUUUGGGAGGCCGAGACCGAAUGAAUGCUUUGUCCUGCCAAGUCCUACGUUGAAACCCUGAACCCCAAGGUCAGAGUGUUACUAGUGGGGGGUCUUUGGGAGGUGAGGAGGUCGUGAUGGUAGAGUCUCACGAAUGGGAUUAGUAUCCCCAUAAAAGGGACACCAGAGCUUCCUCUCUCUCUGUCUCUCUCUCUGUCUCUUUCUCUCCACCCCGCACCAUGGAAUGACACAGCAAGAAGGUUGCCGUCUGCAAGCCAGGAAGGGAGUCCUCACCAGGAGCUGAGAUGUUGCUACUUUGAUCUUGGACCUCCAGUCUUCAUGAUUUCUUUACGUUGCUGUGAAAACCUGGAUGUUGGGGGCUCUGUCUGUGUAUCGUAGACGGAGUUUUGAAUUGCUCCAGUGAAACACAAGUAUUUUACCUUACGCUGUCAACCUGCUGGGGGAAGCGUGAAGACAGUUUAACCUUCUGGCUCCGGUAAUCAUCUUGUCUCAGAGACCUCGGAGAGCUCCCAGAGCCUGGCUGCCACGGUGGUUCUAUAUACCCUCCAGCCCUGGCCUGCCUUGGGACACCCCUCUCCGCCUGCCGGCCCCAGAAUUUCCCCACACACGCGGUCAUCACAGCCCGAGAUGUUUAAUGACGGCUUCAUGCACCAGGCUAUUGCCCUAAACACGGGUGACAGGCCAAACACACACUAAUUACCUAACUCAAUUCAAGCCCGCCUGGCCCCGUGGAAAGGCUGAGCUGGGGAUGCACGCAGGUGCCCCGUCGUUACCUCCGGAUGUCAAAUUGAAGUGAGGUUUUCCCGCAUGAGCGGGGAGAGCUGUUUCUACGCACCAAGAUUUCCACGGUUUGCAGGAGAAAGAGUUUUGUGUCUGCCCUCUGGACAGCCCUGUCAGUUUUAUCAAGCGUGUCUGAUUAAGGAAUAUUUAAAGUGAAAAACAACACAAUCCCGGCCCUCCUACGGCCCCCGCCUUCCCUCUGUGUCUGCGGUCUGUACCCUACGAACGCCUAGGACGCUAGACGGGAUCCCUCCCCACGGAGCUAUAUAGGAAGGGUCUUGCUCUGUCACCUGGGCUGGAGUACCCUGGUGUGAUCACAGCUCACGGUUGCUUCGACCUCCUGGUCUCCAGCGAUCCUCCUGUCUCAGCCUCCCCAAAAUGCUGGGAUUACAGGUGUGAGCCGCCGCUCCUGGCCAGCACCUUCUCUUAUGCGGUACCUGGAAAGUCCCACAUCAUGCGAACGUCUCCACCAGAUGACUCGGAUUCAAAAUAAUGAGGAUGUUUAUGUCUGCAGUCUGUUCCUCUCUUGAAGAUUCAAUUCUAAAUAAUGCAGGUCUCCUAAAUGCUAGCAAAUAGUGUCAUACACUCCUUUUCACAAAAUAGCUUUGACUUUGGGGAAGGCAACUAUCAUUAACUGGGCACCGGCACCUUUAAGCAAAGGUUUCCUGGAAUAACAGUCAGCUAAGGAAAUAUAAUGAGAGCUAUUUCUUGCCCUUCCUGCUCGAAACCGUUGGCUGGAACUCAGCCUGCCCCUCAGCUGAAGCACGUCUGGUUUAAAUUCAUACGGCAUAGAUUUACAAUUUUUAAACGACUGGAUAUGUAUUUUUUUUUUUCUACGCUGUUUGCAGACCUGGUGGACACCUGUUGUUUCUGGUUAGGAAAGGAGGAGAUAAUUGGAUACCAGAGAGAGCCUGACUUCUUGAGCCACCAUUUAACCGGCUGAUUUCAGCAAUAAAUUGGAGGGGGGCGGGGAUGGGGAAAAAAUAACACCCAAGAAACAUUCAGACAGAUUUGCAACCACAAAGUCUGUCUCCUUUAUUAUUUUAAUUUUAUUAUUAUUAUUACUUUUGCUUUGUUUAACAUAAAAACGAUCUAGGCGAGUCCUUCUGGGCUGAUGUGUAUGUGCUUUUUCCUGCCUGGCUAUCCUGUAGCUUUAUCUAAGGCAAAUCGGAGUACGUGUAAAUAAAUUAGUUCAACCAUUGUGGAAGACAGCGUGGCGAUUCCUCAAGGAUGUAGAACUAGAAAUACCGUUUGACCCAGCCAUCCCGUUACUGGGUAUAUACCCAAAGGAUUAUAAAUCACUCUACCAUAAAGACACAUGCACACGUAUGUUUAUUGAGGCACUGUUCACAACAGCAAAGACUUGGAACCAACCCAAAUGCCCAUCAAUGAUAGACUGGAUACAGAGAAUGUGGCACACAGACACCAUGGAAUACUAUGCAGCCACGAAAAAGGAUGGGUUCAUGUCCUUUGCAGGGACAUGGAUGAAGCUGGAAACCAUCAUUCUCAGCAAACUCGCACAGGAACAGAAAACCACACACCGCAUGUUCUCACUCCUAAGUGGGAGCUGAACGAUGAGAACACAGGGACGCAGGGAGGGGAACAUCACACACCGGGGCCUGUCAGUGGGUUGCGGGCCAAGGAGUGGGAUUGCAUUAGGAUGCUAUCCUAAUGCUAACAAAUAUCUAAUCCAUCCAGGGCUUAACACCUAGA